rnacentral:lncRNA from 1 species
UGAGAGAGGUCAGCGUGAGCCCCUUGCCUCACACCGGCCCCUCCCACGCUGAGAGAGGUCAGUGUGAGCCCUUGCCUCACACCGGCCCCUCCCACGCGGACAGAGGUCAGCGUGAGCCCCUUGCCUCACACCGGCCCCUCCCACGCUGAGAGAGGUCAGUGUGAGCCCUUGCCUCACCCCGGCCCCUCCCACGUGGACAGAGGUCAGCGUGAGCCCCUUGCCUCACACCGGCCCCUCCCACGCGGACAGAGGUCAGCCCGAGCCCCUUGUCUCACACCGGCCCCUCCCAUGCUGAGAGAGGUCAGCGUGCCCCUUGUCUCACACCGGCCCCUCCCACGCUGAGAGAGGUCAGCGUGAGCCCCUUGCCUCACACCGGCCCCUCCCACGCUGAGAGAGGUCAGCCCGAGCCCCUUGCCUCACACCGGCCCCUCCCACGCUGAGAGAGGUCAGCGUGAGCCCCUUGUCUCACACCGGCCCCUCCCACGCUGAGAGAGGUCAGCCCGACCCCUUGCCUCACACCGGCCCCUCCCACGCUGAGAGAGGUCGGUGUGAGCCCUUGCCUCACACCGGCCCCUCCCACGCGGACAGAGGUCAGCGUGAGCCCCUUGCCUCACCCCGGCCCCUCCCACGCUGAGAGAGGUCAGUGUGAGCCCUUGCCUCACACCGGCCCCUCCCACGCGGACAGAGGUC